GUGUUUCUCUGAAUGAUGGAAUUAUCAUUCAUCAUAUGAUGACUCUGAUGUACUAUCUGAUGAAUAGUUGGGUCGGCUGAGCCAUACUCGAGCCUAGUUAUUCAUUAGUUAGAAUUACUGAUAGGUUCAUGUUAAUAGUUUGACCUAAUCAGGAAUUUCAGUGGAGGCCCAUCGCCUACUGAAAUGAAAUCUGAGGUAAAAUUAAUUACUAAAAAUUAUUUAAAGAGACAAUUAGUUAAGAAUCUAUCCAUAAAUGCAUAUGGAUUAGUCGAGCCAUACUCG
rnacentral:lncRNA from 1 species